rnacentral:rRNA from 1 species
GCCAGACUCCUACGGGAGGCAGCAGUGGGGAAUAUUGCACAAUGGGGGAAACCCUGAUGCAGCGACGCCGCGUGAGCGAUGAAGUAUUUCGGUAUGUAAAGCUCUAUCAGCAGGGAAGAAAAUGACGGUACCUGACUAAGAAGCCCCGGCUAACUACGUGCCAGCAGCCGCGGUAAUACGUAGGGGGCAAGCGUUAUCCGGAUUUACUGGGUGUAAAGGGAGCGUAGACGGCUGUGCAAGCCAGAUGUGAAAGCCCGGGGCUCAACCCCGGGACUGCAUUGGGAACUGGGUGUCUUGAGGGCAGGAGAGGAAAGUGGAAUUCCUAGUGUAGCGGUGAAAUGCGUAGAUAUUAGGAGGAGCACCAGUGGCGAAGGCGACUUUCUGGACUGUACCUGACGCUGAGGCGCGAAAGCGUGGGUAGCGAACGGGAUUAGAUACCCUCGUAA